GGGAGAGAAAAUGACUAGAGAAGCAAUGGAAGAACUGUGUUUACAGAGUAGCACAAAGCUGAAAAAUUUCCACACGAUAUUUACCACUAGCCACACUGUGUGGCAGCAGAAAUGCCCAUAUUGCAGAUGUGUCCAUCAGCUGAAAGGUGCCUGGCCAAGAAUAGGAGAGUUGUAAAGAGAUUUGGGACUGUGUAAAUAAACUCUGAGCAGAAAUCACACAUGAGGGAGACUUGUAUUUUUGAUACAUCAACCACUCAAGAGCAUGGAUUUAGUUCUGCUCCUGGGGAUUUCUGUGAAGACACAUGAGCUGCAAUUCUCCUUUCAGUCUGUCUUUGAGGCAUCUACUUUCAAACUACCUGAGACAACAGAGGAAAAAAUUCAGAUAAACAUAGAAUUUUCUCUCCUGGCAAAGCACUGUGGAACAGGUACUCCUUUUAUUUCCAUAUAUUUACAAUUAUUUUUCCACAGAAGCAAACCUCUCAGAAUUACAUGGAUGUCUUGGAACAUGGCCUUGCAAUCUUAACUUGCUUUGGCUGCAGUAUGGCUUUAGUUUCUCUGGCACUCAUUUCUAGAUUUUCCUGGUAGAAUGAACACCUGUAACAAUGAAACAGACAAAUAAAUAAAGUAGUUUGGUAAUGGGCCAAACAUAAAUUAGGCAUUUCGGAAGAGAUUAGGAAAGGUAGCAAACCCAUGAGGCUACUGCCUAUUUAGUCAAACACAGGUAGAAAUUACAAGAUUCUUUUUUCUUUUUUUCAUGUGUUCACUAGGUUCCUCAAGGAUGGUUAUGGAGCCUUAAAAUAUGCAGCCAUAAACAACAGAGUAUCACACAGAUGCCCCCACCACUGACAUCUUGGGUUAAUUCUCCAGAUUUGCCAGUCUGGCUAAUUCAGCUAGCAGGAAAAAAUACUGUGGGAUUUGCCCUUUGUGACCUGUAACUGUGAAUCAGACCCCAGACCUCAGGCACCA